GGCCUGAUGGUCUAGUAGUAUGAUUCCUUGUUAGGGUAUGUUUGAAUAGUGUCAUACACUUACUCGAGGAGGUCCCGGGUUCAAUUCCCGGUCAGGCCC